AACGGCAUUUAGUGCUUGCACUGAAUGGACGUCGACCGGCGCACGGGUGAGUAACGCGUAUCCAACCUACCCAUUACUGUGGGAUAACCUGCCGAAAGGCAGACUAAUACCGCAUGGUCUUCGAUGACGGCAUCAGAUUUGAAGUAAAGAUUUAUCGGUAAUGGAUGGGGAUGCGUCUGAUUAGCUUGUUGGCGGGGUAACGGCCCACCAAGGCAACGAUCAGUAGGGGUUCUGAGAGGAAGGUCCCCCACAUUGGAACUGAGACACGGUCCAAACUCCUACGGGAGGCAGCAGUGAGGAAUAUUGGUCAAUGGGCGCGAGCCUGAACCAGCCAAGUAGCGUGCAGGAUGACGGCCCUAUGGGUUGUAAACUGCUUUUGUAUGGGGAUAAAGUCAAUCACGUGUGAUUGUUUGCAGGUACCAUACGAAUAAGGACCGGCUAAUUCCGUGCCAGCAGCCGCGGUAAUACGGAAGGUCCGGGCGUUAUCCGGAUUUAUUGGGUUUAAAGGGAGCGUAGGCCGGAGAUUAAGUGUGUUGUGAAAUGUAGACGCUCAACGUCUGACUUGCAGCGCAUACUGGUCUCCUUGAGUACGCACAACGUUGGCGGAAUUCGUCGUGUAGCGGUGAAAUGCUUAGAUAUGACGAAGAACUCCGAUUGCGAAGGCAGCUGACGGGAGCGCAACUGACGCUUAAGCUCGAAGUGCGGGUAUCGACAGAUUAGAUACCCUGGUAGUCCGCACAGUAACGAUGGAUGCCCGCUGUGGUACCUGGUAUCAGCGCUAGCGAAGCAUAGCAUCCACCUGGGAGUACGCGCACGUGAACUCAAGAUGACGGAUCACUAGUGCGCG
rnacentral:rRNA from 1 species